UUGGGCCAGACUUCGCGCGAGUCGCAUCAGCCAGUGGUGAACUAUCCAUCUCAACGAAACUUAUCCCUACGAAGGAAGGCACUGUUUCAGCUAUCACAGAGAUAUUACAGUUAAGAAUUUUUAUGAUCAGCUCAAGGAUAGAACAAAGAGAGAAAGGAAAAGGAUGGAAUGGCGACGGUCCUUCUGUUUUUACCGGUACAUCUACGCAAUAGAAAAAAAGAUAGAAAGAAAAAGAAAAA
rnacentral:lncRNA from 1 species